AACGAACGCUGGCGGCAGGCCUCAAACAUGCAAGUCUAGGGGGUGCAGCAAUGCAUCACCGGCGGACGGGUGCGUAACGCGUGGGAAUAUACCUAUUGGUUCGGAACAACUGCGGGAAACUGCAGCUAAUACCGAAUGUGCCCUAACGGGGAAAGAUUUAUCGCCAAUGGAUUAGCCCGCGUAGGAUUAGCUAGUUGGUGGGUAAUGGCUCACCAAGGCUCCGAUCCUUAGCUGUUCUGAGAGGAAGAUCAGCCACACUGGGACUGAGACACGGCCCAGACUCCUACGGGAGGCAGCAGUUGGGAAUCUUGGACAAUGGGGGAAACCCUGAUCCAGCCAUGCCGCGUGAGUGAUGAAGGCCUUCGGUUGU
rnacentral:rRNA from 1 species